rnacentral:antisense_RNA from 1 species
AAACCAGACAAAACUGAAGAAUUAAGAUGUUUUUUUUUAAAUAAAAUUUUUAUUAUUGAAAAAAGUGAGGAAAUUGAAUGAAAUAAGCUAAGGAAGACUAUUUAAUCUUUAAUUAGCAAGUUUGAAAUCGUAUUUAAGCAUGAUUUCAUUUUCUGGAUUAUUUGAAUUGCCAUUUUGAGCGUUUAAUUCAACUAAAAUCAUUGAGUUAUUGGAAAUAAUGGAUUUAAUAAAUGAUAUGGCAGAAUUUAAACUGGUACUUUUGAUAAUUCUGUUUAUCUGUUCUUUUUCGUUAGAAAUUCUACUCGUGUUUUGAUUCGAAGGAGAAAAGCUUUCUGACUCAAAAUAUUCGACAAUUCUGCUAAAAAGAUAGGAAGAUUGGGCUACAAUUUGAGUUUGAGAGAGUAAUAAUUGGAGGAUGACUUCAGUUUUGAUUUGUUUAAAAUUGAGACUCAAAGACUGAUCAAUCAAGUGGUUUGACUUGUCAUAGGGUUUAUUAUCUUGAUUGUAGUUGAAUUCAGUGAAUUCGGAAUUUUCAAUAAAUGAAAGGAAGUCUAAUAGUAAAAUUGAAGUCGUUAUGUCUUUACUAGAGAAGACUUUAUUAUCAGAAACUUCAAGAAUCAACUGUAGCCCAAGUUUUUUAAGGAAAGGAGAAGGUAUCACGAGUAAGUUAAUAUUCUUUCUUUGAGAUUUAUCAACCAAAAGUGAAGUUGGGAGAUACAUAUUCUUAAAAGUAAAUUGAAUGAGACUAACAAGAAGUAUUAACAUUGACUUUUGUUGGAUAUCAUUUUUAGAGGCUGAAAUCCAAAGAGUGGAAAUUAACAUUUCAAAAUUUUCAUUUUUAUUUGAUUGGUUAUUUUUGUUCUCCUUAUUGGCAUAAAAUAAUAAUCUUGUUCUUGAUGAAUCAAUUUCUUCUAAUAAAGGAUGGGGAAAUUUAAUUUCUCCGGAAGUAUUCUUCGUGUAAAGUGAAUCAGGAAAGUAUUUAAAGUCAUUAAAGCAUGUAUUUGAAAUAAGGGACUCUUUUACAAUAUCAAAACUAACAUUUGGUUCAUCAAUAUGAGUAAUUAAUCCAAUUACAUUGAUAUAUGGAUUUUUAAUAUCAAGUUUUUUGUCCAAAAGAAUAGUUAUUUCAUCACUUUCUAACUCUUUUAUCUCAGAAAGCACUUCUUCAUGCGUAAAUAUCUCAGGAAGAAACAAUUGCUUGAUCUUAUCAGUACAAUAAUUGGUUGCACUAUUCGCUAAUAUUGAUUGAUUAAUUUCCUUAAUUGCAUCCACUUUAACCCUUUCAGAGAGUUCUUUCGAUAUAUUCAGCAUAGAGACAGUUCGAAUAGAUUUAAGAACCUCUUUCAAGUAUUCUGGAAACAUGGGCGAUGGAGAUGUUACUUGUAAUUGUACACAAUUUGUCGAUAAAGCUGUGCCAAAAUGAUGGCAAGGCUGGAAGUUAAUGGUUGCACCAAUUUUUCUAUAUGAAUUAAAGUUCAGAGAUAAGGUCGUUGUUAUCCAUAUAGCAAAGAUAAUUCUUGAAAUAAAGGAAGCAAGUAUCGAAUUUUUUGUUAGAUUUCCUUGUUUUCCUUUAUUUAAUAAUAGCUUGGAGUAAUCAAUACUAUCAUACCAUCUAAUAAUAGCAGAAGAUAAAGAGCUUUGAAGAAUUUCACUGGAUUUAUCUGGAUAAUUGAUCUGAGAGUAGUAAAUUAAGAAUUUAUUAUUCUCAUCUUGUGAUAUGAUUUUCGGUUCUGAAAUAUAAGGAGUUGUGCCUUGUAUUGGAUUAUCAUCUUCAAUUUGGUUUGAAAAAGAGCUCCAUUCAAAUUCUCCAUCUAAAAAAGUUAAUUCUGAAUUCUUCAAAAGAUGAUGCGGAGAAAUCAGGAAGUCAUAUUCAUCUUUUAUUUCGUUCUUAAGUAUUACUUGUCUUAAUGGAUCCAUUUUGAUGACAUAUUUCUUCAAGUUUUCAGGAUCUUUCAGUAAAUUGAGGAAGUUCGGCUCAAAUUUGAGCUCAAAAUAAUUAAUUGUAGGUGGGUCUGGCAAUAGAAGCUUGAGCUUUUUGAAAUUAUACUCAUUAUUAUUAUUGAAAAAGGCUUUUGAAGUAAUAAAAAUAAUAAAAUUUGAAGGUUUGAGUGCAUUUUCAAGAGUGAAUUUUACAUAUUUCAAAAUUACUUUAAUUUUUGAAUAAAAACGGUUAUUACCAACCAGAAUUUCGCUUGGAUUAUGCGAUUUUAAGUUUUGUAUGGCAAUUUCUGUGGUUUCAAAAUUACGAUCAAAGUAAUCAAUAUAGUUUUCUCUUUCACUAUUCAUUUGGUAAUUUGAGUUUGAAAUGUAGUUUUCAAUUUGGAGUAUAUCACAUAUGGCAAGAAAUGGUCGAUUGGUUUCUUUAUUCUCUAAAAUAUCUUUUUUUGUGGAUUUAAUAUCUAAGUUAUUUAAGCUAUCUUCAAUUUGUUUUAUUAAUGAAUUAAAGUAAGCAAAUAUGGAUUGAACAAUAAAUUGAAUUAAUGGUGAUUUGGGGUCAAUUUCAGAUUCAAACUUUUCUGAAAGUUUAAUAAUAACAGAAUAUAUAGUAAAUCCAAGCUUUUGUGAUGAGUGAGCUGCAAAGUAUACUUCUCCACUACUAACUGAUUUAAUAAGUUUUCUUUUAUUCAAAAAAUUCACAAGACUUCCAGAUUCUAAUAAAUAAGAAAUAACUUUUAGUGGUUUUGAAUUUGAUGACGAAAGAGAUGAAUAGAAAGCAGGAAUAAUCCAUUGAAUUUCAAUCUCUCCAUUACUAUUUAUGGAGUCAUGAAUUGGAGAAUUUACUAUUAUUGAAGGUUUCAAAUCUGCUACUGCAACAGGAGGUAGCUCAGAAUAAUUAUUAUUUUGGUUCUUAUUAUUCUUAGAUUUUGAUUGCUUAAAGAGGGAUUUAUUAUCUCCUAUGGUUUUAUUGGUGUUAUCUUUAAUUUUCUCAUUUUCUUGCAAAAUUGGAAUAUUAAAAUCAUUCAAUAUUUUAAAAAGUUUUUCAUUGGAAAUGUUUGAAUGGAAAGCAACAAUUACUGGUUUAUUGCUGAUAAUUCGAUUAUAAGCUUGCAUUAUUUCUACCUCCAAAUUCCCUUCUUUAAUUAAAGAUAAUACUGUGGAUUCUGAACCAAUUGACCACAAUUUAAGUAU